GGGCCCUUAGCUCAGCUGGGAGAGCGCCUGAUUUGCAUUCAGGAGGUCAGGAGUUCGAUCCUCCUAGGGUCCACCA
rnacentral:tRNA from 1 species